UGCUUAGAGGUUAAACCCGAUGAACCUGAAUAUCCGUUAUGGAAAAUUCAUCAUUAAUAUUAUUAUAUUUAAAAAUAUAAUAAAAAUAGUGUGCAAUUUUUCCAUAUAAGGACAUUGUAAUCUGUUAAUGUUUUAAAUAUUUAUCAAAAAGUCUAUAACAUAAGUUUAUUCAAAUUAGUUAUUUUCGAAUUUCUAACAUAGAAUAAUUGUAUUAGAUUCGAUAAAUCAUUGACAGAUUUUACUAUAUAUAAUGCUUAAAUUCAUUUUUGAAUUUUAUAAUUAUAGUAAAAAUUUAUUUUUAUUUAUAAUUAUAUGCAUUUAUAUGAUUAACAAUGCGAUAGAUUCAGGAUACCUUCGGGACCCGUCUUGAAACACGGACCAAGGAGUCUAACAUAUGUGCAAGUCAUUGGGUAUUUUUAAUAAAACCCAAUGGCAUAAUUAACUUAACUGUUUUUUAAUGGGAUUAGUUUAUAUUUUAUUAUGAAAUAAAAAUUCAAUCCCGGGGCGUUCUAUACAGUUAUGCAUAAUGAUAUUUAUAUUAUUUAUGCCUCUAACUA
rnacentral:rRNA from 1 species